rnacentral:misc_RNA from 1 species
CAGCACAAGCUCACGCCUGCCUGCCCGGCUGCUUCUUUUGUUUCCGCUGCCGCGCUGGAGCGCCGUGACGCUACCGGGUACGGCAUCGCGGAAAGACUUGACGACGCUCGAUCUGGCUGCCUCGCGUGCACUUGGUUUCGCGCUUGCUUUGGUGGUGCUAAGCAGCUGCCUCUUCAUCUCUGUAGCUCAAGUUGUCUGGACGUCGUGCUGGACAGCCUCUCUGGAAUACAGUGCCAGCGGCGACACUGCGCAUCACCUCCACGUGGUGUGUCGCACCUGGAUGCACAACCUAGUGGAGCACUGCUGGACUACGCUGCUGUUCGCCUGCGCUGCACGAGUGGCCCACCAUGCCGGAGAAGUGGUCGCAUCGAUCGAGAUGACACACGCCAUAGUGACUGCCCAGAGUGCAGCGGUCGCGAGCGAGUCGGACGGAUGGCUGCAGAAGGCGUGGGCCUUGCAAUCCAGCAGCGCCGUCGCAGCGCAGGCGGUGCAACGCUGCAUACAACGUCUUCGACUGGUAGGCAGCGCAGUCGACGGCAUGGAGGUCACCCCGCUCGGUGGGCGGCACGCGCUCACGCGCGGCAUGGCGUCGCGGUAUUGGCUCGGAGUCUUCAUUGUUGCUUUCCUUACUUGCACAAUGAAGGCGUCACUGCAUCCCAGCCGGUGCGUAGAGCUUGCCGUUGUCGUGAUGGUUGCGUGUGGGGCGAAUGUGGUACUUGUCUGUGAAACCCGCCAGCAGCGACGACGCGCACUGGCAUGGUGGCUCCACUGUCAAGCGACCACCGCGGAGAACUUCGCGGAAGACGUUCUGCGUACAGCGGGCGACCGGUGUAGCGAAGCGCUGUCGAACGGGGCAGACGCUGAAGAGCAAGGUGGAUCAGUUGCGCGACGGCCUCUGCCAACCAAUCGUGCGGCUGUCCACACGCUCUGCACGAUACCGCUGCCAGUGUUGGAAGAGCUGGCAAAGGUCGCCUGCCUGGUGGAGUGGAGUGAAGGGCGCUUGUUGCCAAUACAUCACGAAUCCGAUGCUACCGGUCCUGCGAACCUCUCGGCGCUGCCAAUCCAGUGGUUCUGGGAGCAGCUGUGCGGUCGCGCCGCUCCGACGUACGCAAACGGCACGUCCUCUGUGGCUGUCGUGGAGACUACGAUGCGGGCAUGCCGACGCUCACUCGAAGCCAAGCAGAGGCAGCGCGGUGCAGCUCCUUUGGCCAUAGCGGAGGCGGUGGCCUACGUGCUACCCUGGGCACUGGACUACAAGGCGGCACCGCCACCGCCGACCGGCGCACUAGAGGGGUGUCACGACUACCAGGUAGGCGAAGUGUUUGCACCCUUUGCCGCUGCAGCGGCCGGGGACGCCAGCGGCGUCGCCCUCGCGACACCCGAUGGAGACUCCUCUUCUCUGCACCCUCUCGAUGUGGCGCUGCGACGGCUGCCGUACCUUUCGCAGCUUCAGGGCCGCCUCGUCGUGUGCGCCGCCUUCGUGUUCGCCUCGCUGAGAGCGACUCCACGCGCGAUGGGUAAGGCAGUUCGCAGCUGUCCAGCUCCCUUCUCCGCCUGCACCGGAGAGUCGACGCCCGUACUUCUGACGCACCUCGUCCAGGCUCAAAUGUGCGUGGAGCCGUCCCUGCGGUGCAGAAAGGGCUCAGAGGGCGUCUCGGCGGCGCGGUGGCGUCGGGCGGCAAAGCGCACGCGAGCUGCCCUGCAGCUCCUCCAGCAAGUGGCGCUGUCGGCUCAGCAGUGCAGCGUUCAAGACGCUCCUGCAGGCCGCGCGUACGCACCGGUGCUGCCCUCGCUGCUUCACGAACUCUUCCGCUAACGAUGUGUGGCCUGUGUCGCAGGUGAAACACAGCGGGUGGCAGAGUCGGGAAUACCGUGACGCUCCUUGAUGCAUGUGUAUGUAUGUGUGUGUGUGUGUGUGUGUGCGUGCGCACUAUAUAUGCUGUGCACUGCCACAUCAAAG